CGUGGUGGUGGAGGAGGAGGAGGAGGAAGAGGACGUGGUGAAUGGAAGAGGGAGAAGAAGGGCAAGGAGACAAGCAGUCUCAGAUGAAAUUCGAGCCACUUUAGUUGACCAUGUCCUUGUCCAUGGUAUGACCAUGAGGGAGGCUGGGCAACGAGUACAGCCAAAUUUGAGUUGCUUCACCGUCGCCUCCAUCAUCAGAACCUUCAGGGAGGAAAACAGGACACAGAGAUGACCACCUGGUGGAGGCAGGCUAAGGCUUUUGUCAGAGGAGCAAGAGAGGGAGCUUGUAAACAUGGUCAUUGCCAAUAAUGUAAUCCGCCUGCGAGAGAUUCAAAGGAGAGUGAUUGAGGAUAAUCAUCAUUUUCGAGGGAUAAAUGCCAUCAGCCUCUCCACAAUUGAUCGUAUCCUCCGAAAGCACCGGUUCCGGAUGAAACAGGCGUACCGCGUCCCUUUCGAACGAAACUCAGAGUGAAAGACCAACGAGUGGAAUAUGUUCAGAGAAUCUUUGAGAUUGAAGGCCGGCCUGUUCCCCAUGAAAUUAUCUUUGUGGAUGAGGCUGGUUUCAACCUGACCAAAAGAAGGAGAAGGGGGAGGAACAUAAUUGGCCAUCGGGCUAUUGUAAAUGUCCCUGGUCAGCACGGAGGGAAUGUCACUAUGUGUGCAGCCAUCAGCCAACGAGGGGUACUCCACCGUCAUGCCAUUCUAGGACCCUAUAACACUAUGCUCCUCCUUGCUUUCCUUGACGGUCUAAGAGAGCAUAUGUUCCAGCUGGACCUCAGGGAACCAGCACAGCCAGAGCAGCCUCGUUACAUUGUUGUUUGGGAUAAUGUCAGCUUCCAUCGCGCUGCUCUGGUUCGUGACUGGUUUACCAAUAACCCGAGGUU